AUUGAACGCUGGCGGCAGGCCUAACACAUGCAAGUCGAGCGGAUGAAGGGAGCUUGCUCCUGGAUUCAGCGACGGACGGGUGAGUAAUGCCUAGGAAUCUGCCUGGUAGUGGGGGAUAACGUCCGGAAACGGGCGCUAAUACCGCAUACGUCCUGAGGGAGAAAGUGGGGGAUCUUCGGACCUCACGCUAUCAGAUGAGCCUAGGUCGGAUUAGCUAGUUGGUGGGGUAAAGGCCUACCAAGGCGACGAUCCGUAACUGGUCUGAGAGGAUGAUCAGUCACACUGGAACUGAGACACGGUCCAGACUCCUACGGGAGGCAGCAGUGGGGAAUAUUGGACAAUGGGCGAAAGCCUGAUCCAGCCAUGCCGCGUGUGUGAAGAAGGUCUUCGGAUUGUAAAGCACUUUAAGUUGGGAGGAAGGGCAGUAAGUUAAUACCUUGCUGCUUUGACGUUACCAACAGAAUAAGCACCGGCUAACUUCGUG
rnacentral:rRNA from 1 species